CUAAUUUAUUGUAUUUUCGUAUUUAAAUUUACUUAUUGUAGUUGGAAUUAUACGAUGAGGCUCAACUGCCUGUCAUAGUUAGAAUUACAUAAUUCCAACUGCAAUAGUUGAAAAAAAUAAUUUUAAACAAAAAAUAAAUUUAUUUCUCUAAUAAUUUUUUAAGUAGAAAAAAUACAUAUUUUUUCCUACAAAGGAGAUAAUUAAUCUUACCAGCUCAUAUGCAAAGUGAUAAAAUUUUAUAAAUGCACAUCUCAACUGCAUACAACAAAACAAAUUAUGUAUAAUUAUAGCAUUUUUCACUACAUUCAAUUAAACAAAAUACAAAUAAUUAUAACUACUGUAUUUUCAACUAUAUACAUCUUUAACUAUGCUGUAUAUAUAAUUACGUCCUUCCUAUUGGAUCUUUAAAGCGAUUGCUGAUUCAAUGACAAUUGCAAAAACCUUUAGGGCUUGUUUGGUUCAUCCAUUUUGGGUAUGGAAUGGGAAUCGACAAAUCCGGUUAAUUUUGUUUGGUUCGCAUGAAUCGGUUUGGGAUUUCUAUUCCGGACUGGAAUGGGAAUGGCCCAUUAGCCUUCAACUUGAUUCCGGUCUUCUAACCAGGAUUGAGAUUUCAUUCGGGAAGCCCACUAAGUUCUCGAAGCCCAUGUGACCAUCUCACCCUCUUUCUCUUCACCCCUUUCUCAUCAAAAAAAAAAAAAAAAAAAAAAAAAAAAAAAAUCUAUCCUCUCUCAAAAUCCUAUCCCUAACCCAUAUCAAUAAAAGUUUUUAAAAAUAAAUUUGAUAUUUUUUUUGGAAAACUUAUUAGAGAAUAGUAUUAUAUUUUUUAUAAAUUUUAAAUAAUAUAAAUUUAUAUUUGAGAGUAAAAUUAGUAUUAUAGUAUUCUAUAAUUUUUUUAGUUUAUACGAACCAAACAAUGAAAUAUGAGUAACUCAUUCCAAUUCUCAAUCCACAAAUAAACCAAACGUCUUGGGGGAGUGAGCCAUUCUAAUUAUCAUUCCAAUUCAUUCACAUUCCAUUAUCCAUUCCAAUUCCACCCUUGAACCAAACAAGUCCUUAAUUUCUUGAUAAAAUAUACACUGUCAUGGCUAAACUUUGACGGGUAAUACAGUUAUUAACCACAAGUGGUUUAAGCAGUUAGGUUUGUGAGGAUUGUCAUAGCUAACUUCGUCCCUUCUACUGGAAUGUUUAGCAUUAGUUAAACAAUCACUGGAACAUCUUACCUUUUGUUGCAUCAUAUUCGCUGUCGAUCGAUCUAUGUGUGCUGAUGGAUUUGGUUUGAUUCCCUUUUUAAGUUUUAAAUUGUAUUGAUGAAUUAAUGGUGUACUGUGAUGGUGACUCUCGCAGUUAUGUGAUUCGAGUUGAUUUCAUGCUUUGGUUUUACUUAGUUGUUAAAUUGGUUUUCAAUCGCGAUUUCUAAGUGAAUUUACAAAACGGAGUUAUGGAGGGGUUUUGAUUUUGUAUUGUGUGUGUCGGCGGAGUUUGGAGGACGUUAUGUCAUCAUCCUGCUAUAUUAUAAUUAGUGUGGGUAAUGAUUAUACGUACGCUUGUCUCUUAUAUAGUGAAUAUGAAAAUAAUAAUGUUAGUAUUGUUUAAUUUUUGUGCCUAAUGCCACUGUCUGUGUGGAUAGAAAAAUCCUACGCAUGUGGCUCGUCUUGAUUUUAGUACAGCAUAUUGUUGGCUUAAAUAGACCAGUAUUUUACCCUGUGGCGGAGGCCAUGUGUGGGCCGAGUCAUGUUCGAAGUGACGUGAGACUGAGUGGGCCGAGUCAUGUUCGAAGUGGCGUAAGGUCGGAUGGAUCGAGUCACAAUCAAGACCUGUGGACGCUGUAUUUGUACGCUUUAAGUGAAUCGGUUGCGUAUUUCUAACAACUCGAGCUUUUGGGAUUAAUGGUUAGCGCCAACGAUCCGACAAGUGGUAUCAGAGCCAGUGAUCACGGGUUCAAUUUCCGCAUACUGCAAAUGUGUGCAGGUGCUAGAGAGGGGAUUGUUUGCUUAAAAGGGCCAGUAUCCUAUCCUGCGGCGGGAGAUCAUGUGUGGACCGAGUCAUGUUCGAAGUGGCGUGAGACUAGGUGGGCUGAGUCAUGUUUAAAGCUCGAAUUUUUUGGAUUAAUGAUUAGCGCCAACGAUCAGACAUAUAUCACACUCAAAAUGAUGGCAAUAGGAGAGAUUGAACAAAUCAAACUCUCGAGAAUAUAUCGAGGGCAUGUGUUCUCGGGAGUGUUUGGCAUCGAUUUUUAUGAAUGGUAGAGCUCGCCUACACUAAUAGCUUCCAGUGGAGCAUUGGAAUGGCUUCUUACGAAGCUUUGUAUGAAAAGAAAAUACCAAUCCUCGUUACAUUAGAGCGAGAUCGGUGAAAGAACGACAUUGGUCAUGAUGUGCUAUAAGAAGCUGAGGAAAAAGUUUGAGUUGCACAGGUGCGACUCCUGGUUGCGCAAAGCCGACGAAGGUGUUAUGAUGAUCAGCAUCGGCAUGAUUUUAAGAUUCAAGAUGAAAAAUCACAUGUGUUUGACGAGGGUGUGAAAUUAACGGUUCGGGACGCGAGGAAAGUUAUGCCCUGGCUAUGUUGAUCCCUUUGAAGUGUUGGAGUUAUUUUUCAUCAGUAUGAUUGGAAAAAAUUAAGUAUUUUUUGUAAUAGGUUUAACUCAUAGAAUUUAUCCUAAACCUAUCACGUUGUGUGAAAUGAAUAGGUCAGAGUUUAUGGCAGGGUGAUAAGGUAAUCACAUAUUAAAAUGAUACCAUAAGAAUCUUCUUUUGGAUACUUUUGUAUAAAAUAGAGACAUGUAAUUGAAUAUUGCGAAUCCGUGACAAGACCUAUCCGUAUUGUUGGGUCCCUAGUAUUUUGUUUUCUCGCCCUAAUUCCAAGUUCUCUAGCUAGUAGAUGUGUUGUUUUCAAUCAAAUAUACUUAUAUUCUUUUUUUUUCUAUAAAUUUUUACUAAAAAUUUAUAUCCGUCGCAUCGCGUGUGUUCCUACACUAGUGUCACAUAAAAUUAAUAAAUCAAGUUUAAUGCGUAAUGAACAACGCUAAUACUAAGCUUAUUUAUCAAUUUUAUGCUAGUUUUUGUUUUAAUAUACUUUUUAUAGUUAAAUAUAUGAGAUAUUUGAUGCCCUAAAGCACAUUUUUCUCUUUAACUUGUAGACUAAUAUAACAUGUGUAUCCAACUACAUGCCAUUUCUUUUGAUCGUAUUUUAUAUGAAUAAUGUUUACAUUACAUGCUGCUUCAAAAAUUUUGAAAUUUUAUUUUUGUUUUUACUAAAUCCGUCGAAGAAUCACUAGUUUUUCACAUUUUUAUUUUGUUAUAUACCUUUUAUUAGAAAAAAUAUAUGACAUUUGGAAAACUUUAUACUUGUCACGGUAAAACUCACGUCAAAAGAGAAUAAAAAAUUGAGUACAAAUAACCAGAAAAAUAGUAUUAUUGGUUUUCGCGAGAUAUACUAAUAAUUUAGUUUAAGUACAUGUAUCAAAUUUAUUGGAUAUAAUCUAAUUCAGUUAGUAAAUAAUGAUCACAAUUUUAAUAAAUUUAUCCAUUAACAUUAAAUUAAUUUCUUCAUUAACAAACAAAGUGAAAUUAAUUACUAAGAUUCAAAUCCGACAAUGUGCGUCAGAUUCAAACUGGUUUGUUAUUUGAAAACGGGUCCAUUGCCAACUCACCCUAGACCAUUUUAAGUUCCUGCAUAAUCACACAUAUACCCUUCCCACUUUCUGAAAAAAUUAUAAUUUUUUGAGUUACUUGAUGCCUAAAUAAUAAAUUUAAUUUUCAAAAAAAUUUAAUUUUUUGAACAUCAAGCUACUCAGAGAUUAUAGAUUACAUCAAAAUAUUUAAAAUUUUAAUUUUUAAAACCCAUAGCUAUAAAUUGUACUAAUCUAUAUAUAUGGACUUAAUUUCUUUUUCUGUGUGUUAUAGGUUUUUUGGGAUUUUACAUACCAUUAAUUCUCGUUUAAAUUAUAAAUUUUUAGUCAAACUCCAACCAUAAAUCGCCCCAAAGACAUGUGGUUUCUGCGGAUUUAAGAUAUGGUUUUUACCAUAAGAUAUUAAUUUUACUAUCAAAAUUAUUAAAAUAUAUAAGAUGAACCAAAAAAUUCGGUAUUACAUUAAUGCACUGAACCAAAUGAAAUAAUACGAUAUUAGUAGUAAUCUAAAUAACAGAUACCGGAUUACUAUACCGGAUUAUUAAUCAUGUUGAGAUAACCAGCGAUGUUACAUAAUGCGAACUAAACAGGCCCUAAAAAUCUAAUUUGAUAAUGUGAUGACUAAAAGUAUUAUAUUUAUACUAUCAGAGGUCAAAAAAGUCUAAAAACACUUAUAAUUUUUUUCCUCCAAUACAUUAAAAUUUAUGGUUGUAACAAUUAUAUGCUUCUCCCAUAGUGAUUAUAACAAUAAUUUUAUAAUAUAAAAAAUACUUUUAUAAAUUUUAUAAUUUUUAUAGUAUAAAAAUAAUAUUUUUAGUUACACCAUAUUAUCAAACUAGCCAAACUAGUACAUGUAUAUUGAGAUAUCAUAUGUAACAACACAGUCCACUAAUUUUAUUGAGUUCAAACCACUGGAUGAGGAGUAAAACUCUCAUUUCCCAAAAUAAAAAUAAAGUUAGAGGCAAAGGCUCGAAAAAAAAAUAUAUAUUCUCCUUUAAAUAGAAAGAAACUGUUAUAAUUAGUCUAUGGUCCAUAUCCUCUCUCUCUCCUCCAUUAUUAUUAGGCUAAAUUGCAUAUGUAGUCCUCAAACUUUAAAGUUUGCGACACUACAGUUCUCAAACUUUAAUUUAUUAUAAUUUUUUAGUUUAAUUUUAUUAGAUUUUUAUAAUUAAUUUUGACAGUCUAAUUUAAUAAAUUAAAUCACAGCGUGCGAUAAAAUAUAAAAAUUAUUGAAAUAUCGUGUUACUAUUAUAUUGUCAAAACAUGUCAGUUAAAUUAAACUGUAAUAUUUUAUUAUAAUAAUUUAAAAACUUCAUAUAAAAUAUUAUUAAAAAUUAAAAUUUGAGAACCCAAAUAAGCCUAAAAAAAGGUUGAGGACCAAAAGUGCAGUUCACUAUUCUAUUAUUAUUAUUAUUAUUAUUAUUCUCUCUCAUCAUUGCAUCACCAUCUUCCACUUGCUUCAUCCCUCCGCAAUUUUCUGCAAUCCCCACCACCUCUCUCUCUCCCCCUCUCUAUCUCUUAUCUCCAUCUCUCCUCCCAUUUUUUUUCCUCUCUCCUCAUUCACCCUCUCUCUCUCUUUCUCUUUCUCUCCUCCUCUGUGUUUGUGUUUGUGUUCUCUCAUCAGGACACAAGAGAGUUCGUAACACAAAACAGAGGAGGUGUAGAAACGAAUAUCAAGAACAUAUAUAUAUAUAUAUAUAUAUAUACACACACACAUAAAGAGGUAAUUUGUUACUGUUCUAUUGUAGUUGAUAAAAUUCUCUGAUAACUAAGGUGGUGUACGUAGAAAGGAAUUAAGCAGAGUAAGAGACAGAGAGGGAGAGGGAGAAGGAGAGGGGUGGGGGGGAUCGGAAUGGCGUUUCAGGGGACGACGACGAAGUGCACGGCGUGCGACAAGACGGUGUACUUGGUCGACAAGCUCACCGCCGACAACCGGAUCUACCACAAGGCCUGCUUCAGAUGCCACCAUUGCAAAGGCACUCUCAAGGUAACAUAACCAAACCAAACCAAACCAAAAAAAAUGCAUGAGUACAAAUAAAAAUAUCAUGCACAAAUACCAACCUCUCCAAAUUUGUAGAUUCUAAAAAGGAUGUCAUCUCUGUUGCUUGAUUGGUUGCUUGGUUUGUUGGAGUCCCAAACUUUUAUGUCUCUGCUUUCUUUUCUUUUCUUUUUUUUUUAUUUUUUUCCUUUUUUUUAAGAGGCGUUUGGUUUCUCGCAAAAUUAUGAAAAACUGUUUUCUUAAAAAAAAAAAGUUUUUACAGCAAAUAUAUAUAUAAUUAUAUAUAUAUAAUGGAGCUCUAUGUUUUUGAAAAAUACUAAAUUUUUUGUGCUGGUAAAUUUUUGACCGUUGGAUUAAAAGAUCUGCGGUUAGGAUGACGGGGGACCUUUAGGGUUGAGUAGGUGGUUGGUUAUAUAGUAUAAUCUAAUAUGUGAAAAUGAUCAAAAGGUGGAUCUAUGUGUUUGGUAUUUUUACAAACAUCAUAACCGGAUUCUAUAUAUAUAUAUAUAUAUAUUCAAAAUUUUAUUUUUUUUAUAAAGAUUUCAGAAGAAAAGGUAAUUUUUUCUGAGAACCAAAAGGACAGAAAAUAAAUUUUCUAAAAUUUUUUUUGGGUAAUCAACCAUUCCUUCACUCACCAUGGUUUUGUGGAUUUUUUUUGUUUUCUUUUCUUUCUUUAUUAUUAAACUAUACAGCAUUUUAGGACAGGACAUAUCUCAAUUUUCAAUUGUCCAGCUAAUGCAAAAAAAUUUUAUUCAUUUAAUUGAAAUAAACCCAAACAAAAAUUUAGAUUAUAUCAAUGAAGAGAAAAGUAAAGUUCAAUGGCCAAUUUUGUAAUAAUAUUUCCUGAUACCCCUUAAUAGAUCUCUAAUAAAUGUUGCCUCAUCAUGAUUGCUAUUAAGGCUUUUCAAUCAUAUAAUAAUAAUAAUAAUAUUUUCUGAUAUAUAAUAAGUUAAAUGGUCAAAUGUACAUUUAGUCCCUGAACUUUUGAUGAAUUGCAAUUUGGUCCAUGAUCCUUUUGUGAUCUGACCCAAUUUCCUGCUAAAUUCUCUAACAUCACUAUGAACCAAAUUGGAACCAUAUGUAGUAUAUCAACAUGAAAACUAUGAUCAUGACUCAAAUCGAUUAACCCAUGAAUACGGAAUCCGCGAUUUCAAGGUUCGGAAGGCUUGAAAAGCACUCAAUUCUUCAAAUCUUGCAUCAUAUUUUGUUCCAAUUUUAUGCUUCCAAAAUGCAUGAUCUUCAAAAUGAAACAAGCCUCAAAAAUCUGUAGAAGUUGUUUCUAGUUGAUCUUUACGUAACAAAUAACGACUACCGAUCGCAGCUCGGCAAUUACAAUUCGUUCGAAGGAGUGCUCUACUGCAGGCCGCAUUUCGACCAGCUUUUCAAGAUGACCGGAAGCCUCGACAAAAGCUUCGAAGGUAAUCGAUCGAUUAGAGCUUAAACUCAAACUUUUGUUUUGGACUAAUUAGAUGUUAAUAUUUUCGCCUCUCUUUAACUUCAGGGACUCCAAAGGUUGUCAAGCCAGAAAAGCAUGUUGAUACUGAGGUAUGUGCACAUUUGGCCCCUACUUUUUCCGUCGAGAUGUACAGAUUCAGAAACUGAUAUGUUUCAAUGAAAGAACAGAGACCGCAUUUUUAAUUUAUCGAAUGUUCGGGGCGUAUGAUCAAUGGAUAAGGCGAGAUAUGCAUUACAGCUAAAUUUUUGUACUACUACUGCUGGUGCUGAAUUUGAGUCUUUGCUUAAACAGAACGCGAACAAGGUCUCCGGUGCAUUCGCUGGCACGAGGGAGAAAUGCGUUGGAUGCAAGAAGACCGUUUAUCCGAUCGAAAGGGUAUCAUUUUGAAUCACUUCUCUGCUUGCUUAAACUUCUUUAGAGUCAUUUUGCUGUCAUAAGUACCCUGCAGCUGAACAAGUGUUGCUGAACUUCUAGAGCUUCAAUGUUUGAGUUCCUGCUUUUGGGGCUUCAAGGAUUGUUUCAGCUUCUAGACAAAAGUGUGUUUUGGAGUUUUCCGGCAGAAAUAAGCUAAAAGAUGUGCUUCGCGGUCCCAACAGCAAAAACUCCAGUUUGAAACUUCUGCUUCUGCUGCAAAAAGAGAUUGUUUUUCACGAAAACAGGCGCCUAACUUCUAAUAACUAAUAAAAGCAUAAGCUGCUGUUGAACCCUAAACUAACUGUACCUUCAAUCUCCUAUGCAGGUCACUGUGAAUGGAACAGCUUAUCACAGAAGCUGCUUCAAGUGCACUCAUGGUGGAUGUGUCAUAAGCCCUUCCAACUACAUUGCUCAUGAGGGAAAGCUCUACUGCAAACACCACCACAUCCAGCUCUUCAAGGAGAAAGGGAAUUACAGCCAGUUUGAGAAUGAGCAAGAGAAAACUGCGAGCGAAAGCGCCGCGGCAAAUGGAGAAGCACACUAGCUGUAAUUCUCGUCGACAUGGCCACAUGCAUUUCUCCGCGAUAUCUUCGAGAGUGUAUAAAUAUCAUAAGAUGAUGGUUGAUGAUGAUGUAUUGAAACAUAAAAAGAGUUGUUUUGUGUUCUUCAAUGAGAGUGGUGUGUUGGUCCAGUGUUUGCAUGUAGAGACUUUUGUUUGGGCUUUUAUAUUGUGUUUGGGUUCUCAUUAUCUUGCUUGAUUAAAUGGACUUCCCCUUUUGUUUUUUCAAUUUUGUGUGUUUGUGUUUCUUUACUUUGCUUAAACUUUCAUUGUUAUAUGUUAAUUGUGGAAUUGAUUAAAGCUUCUGAAGUUGCACCUCAAUGGACCAAAACACUUUCAGAGGAUCUGCAACAACAUUGAAUGGAGAUAUCAAAGCAUUUGCAUAUCAACAAACAAUACAUGGCCAUCACAGCUCAAAUGAUUAUCCUCUUCCAUUUUGUUUUCAAUCAACAUUGCUCUCACUUUGCAUCAUCAAAUGAUUAUCCUCUUCCAUUUUGUUUUCAAUCAACAUUGCUCUCACUUUGCAUCAAACAUCUGCACUCCUAAUUCCAUUUCCCACUGAUACACAUCAAAUGAAAAAAAGAGAAAAAAAAAAAAGUGUGACAUGUGACAUAGCAAUAAUGGGAACUUGGUCAAAAAUAAAACCAACAACCUAUUCAUCUUUUAUUGCAAUCAUAAUGGUGUUAGUAAAAAAAUGGGUUGGACACACUCUUUGCACCAACUUGUGUGCUGCAUUUCACAUGCCACCAACUCAAAGAUACUGACAUCCCAGCUGUCUGUAGACCAAAACAGCAUGAUGUCUUUCCAACCUUUGCUUACAGAUGAUCGAUUGUUUGCUAGCAUAGUUUAGUGUACUUAAUUGAGUAUUAAGAAUUAUUUAGCAAAUAAUAAUGAUGAUACAGUACUUCAGGGUAAACUUCAAUUUGCCCCCGUUAUGGUAUAACGGAUAUUUACUUUGCCACUCUGUAAUUCAAAAAGUUGCACAUUACUGCCAUAUAGUAUAGUGCAUUUUCACAUUGUCUCUCUGUAGUUCAAAAUUUAUAUUUCGCUAUCAUAUAAUUUUAUUUUUCUUUCACUAUAAGGACUUAUUGUUAAACAUGAUACCAUCCUACGAUUUUUUAAAAAAUUUACUUUCCUACCCUAUUCGAUGAUAGAUAUUUUUUGCUAAAACUAAAUUAAAACUACAAAAUAGUUAAAUGCAAUCUUUUAAAUCACAGAGUGAUAAAGUAAAAAUACGCUAUACUAUAGAAGGGGCAAGUUGAAGGUUGCCCAAGAACUCAAGCAUAUAAAAAUGCUUAUGUAACAUUGGCUCUAUUAGGCAUUGUUCGAAUGCGUGUGUGUGUGUAUAUGUACAUAUAUAUAUAUAGAAUUAGACUGCUAUACUAUCUAUAGUACUAGAGCUCCGGUACUAUAGUCUUGUUUUCGAUCUUAGGGUAUUCAAAUUAACGACCCACACCGUUAAAUAUAAUUUAGGGUAUAUGAAGUUCUAAGAAAUAAAAUUUUAGUUUUUUUCAACAUUGUUUACUAAGUAAAUAAAUUAUAUCAAAAUAAACGGUAAAAAUUGAAUAAUUUUUAAAAUUUGAGUAUAGGACUUUUAAAUUCAAGAUUAAGAAUGUUAACUUUAAUCUAGAUAAUUUAAAGUAUUUUCUAUCAAAAUUUGAAGAAAUUUAGAUUCUUCUGCACCAUUAAACUCCAAACUCGCCAUAGUAGCCAUUGAAAAUUGACAAUUUUGAAAUGGUUUGAUCAUAAAGUAAACUAUGUCGAAAAAAUAUAAAAUUUUAUUUCUAAAAACUUUAAAUACCUUAUAUCAGUUUUAACGGUGCGGAUCGUUAAUUUGAACACUCUAAGAUCGAAAACAAGACUAUAGUACCGGAGCUCCGGUACUAUAGAUAAUAUAGAAGACUAGCUCUCUCUCUCUCUCUCUCUCUCUCUCUCUCUCUCUCUCUCUCUCUCUCUCUCUCUAUCUCUAUAUAUAUAUAUAUAUAUAUAUAUAUAUAGAAUUGCCCUUGGUGCUUCUAAGUUUUUAACUCUUGGAUCUACUCCUUAAUUACUAACACCUUUUGAAUCAAACACUAUUCCACCUAUCACCACCUAUCACAAUCAUUUCAACCCUACAUCUCUCUAUCCAAUAGUUAAAAACUCAAAAUCACCAGGAGUGGUACUUUGAGAGUAUUCUAGCUCAACUCUCUCUCUCUCUCUCUCUCUCUCUCUCUCUCUCUCUCUCUCUCUCUAUAUAUAUAUAUAUGGAACUGACUUAAACUAUAGCUUGUUGUGGCAAUAAAACCAAACUUCUUCAGGUGAUGAUUUUGGUAAUUAAUCUUCCUAAAUCAUGAUUUGAGUCCUUGGAUGGCUCUGCUGUUAGAUGUGAUGCUUUGAUAGAAAUAUCCUGACAUGAAACACAUGAGAUACUGUGAUCAAAUUCAAUAAAGCAAACGGAAAAUAUCAUGAUAAAAACAACUUUUUGAAGAUAAAAUAGUCAUUCAAAGUGGCCCACAGUACAGGUUAAUUUUCCACCUUGUCUUUUAGUUUAUACUGGACUCAUUUUCAUAAAUUUAGUUAAAAAAGAAUAAUCUUAUAUUCUGUGAUUUAUUUCUCUUUAAAUUUAGUUAAAAAAGAAUAAUCUUAUGUCACCAUGAGAAACACUACCUACUUUCAAUCAUUGAAGCACGGAGUAUAAAAGAAAGGGUCAAUUGCUUAUAUAUCCCUGAAAAGUUUUCGACUUUCUGAUUUACCCCUUUUAGAAGGCUAAUAUUGAAAAUAUCAUUUUUAUGUUCCAACCUAUUUCUAAUAUAUCCCUAGAGUUAAAAUCUGUUAAUUAACUCUGUUAUCUCUGUAUAAUUACUAUUUUGCCCUUUCAAAUAUACCCUUCCAUCAUCACUGAUUUUCUUAUUUGCCCUUAAAGUCAGAGACACAAAAAAUAUUUUGACUUUUGGUCUUUUCCAAUAUACUCCUCUACCGUCACCAAUAUUUUUUAUUUGCCCUUAAGUUAAGGGCAAGAUUGGCAUUUUAAUUUUUUUUAACUGUGCUAGAUAUUUAACUCACGUUAACCCAAGUUAACUUAACAGGAGAUAACUACGGAGGUAUUUUGCAAUAACGGUGGAACAUAUGAGGAGUAUUUUAGAAAGAAAAAAAAAAGCAGGAGUAAAUCGGAUAUUUUCAAACUAAUGAGGGGCAUAUAGACAAUUAUCCCGUUCUCAGUUAAAAGGAUGAAUGAAAAGGAGACAAAUGGCAUUUAACAGAAGAGAAAGUUUUGCUCAUAAAAUUUUUUUUAGUAGUUUGCUUUAUUUUGCACUUUUAUUUUUUACCUAAUAUUUCCAUAUUAGGUUCUCCUAAGGAGUUGUUUGAAGUGAAAAAAAAAAAAAAUUUCUAAUCAUAAUCGAAACUGAUUAGAUUCAGACUCAAAUAAUUUUAAUAGGUCUCAUGUUGACCAGAAAAUUUUGGGGCCAAUAAUUACAAUUUAAAAUCCACAAUAAGCCCAUUUAAAAAUAUAAUUGGGUGGGCCUUACGAAAGCCCAAACAAAUAAAAAAAAAAAAGUGAGAGGGGGCCUCAUUCCAGCCCGUUAAAUAUUAUCAUUUGGGCCCAAUAAAUUAAAGCGGGCCUAAUCAACGACGGCCCACAUCCACAUCAUAUAAAAUAUCGGUUCGAAAUUUGAUUUCAAAUCACAAUCCAUUCAAAAUUCGAUUUUUGAAUUUCGAAUUUCGAACUCCCAACCAAUUCCCAAAAUAUCAUCCAACAACCCAUUCAAAGUUCAAUUUCGAAUUUUGAAUUCCCUAACAAAUUUUCAAAAUAUCAUUCAACAAUCCAUUCAAAAUUCGAUUUCGAAUUUUGACCCAACAACCCAUUCGAAAUUCGAUUUCGAAUUUCGAAUUUCGAAUUUCGAAUUUCAAAUUUCGAAUUCCCAACCAAUUCCCAAAACAUCCUCUAACAACCCAUUCGAAAUUCGAUUUCGAAUUUCGAAUUCCCAACCAAUUCCCAAAAUAUCAUCCAACAACCCAUUCGAAAUUCGAUUUCGAAUUUCGAAUUCCCAACCAAUUCCCAAAACAUCAUCCAACAACCCAUUCGAAAUUCGAUUUCGAAUUUCGAAUUCCCAACUAAUUCCCAAAACAUCCUCCAACAACCCAUUCAAAAUUUGAUUUCAAAUUUCGAAUCAAUCCUCAAAAUAUCCUCCAACCAUCCAACAACCCAUUCAAAAUUCGAUUUCGAAUUUUGAAUUUUCAACCAAUCCCAAAUAUCUUUCAACCAACCACAACAACCUAUUCAAAAUUCAAUUUUGAAUUUCGAAUCCCUCAAAAUAUCUCUCACCACCCCUCCCAUUAUAAAUACGAGAAUCAAGAUCAAUACGGGGGAUGAUACGAUUUUACAAAAAAAAAAGAUAGAUUGCUACACACAUUCCCACGUACAAAAUAUUCAAAGGAGGAAAGAUCGCCGAGCCGCGGAAAGGAGGAGAGAUCACUCGAGCUGCGGAAAGGAGGAGAGAUCGCCGAGCCGCGGAAAGGAGGAAAGAUCGCCGAGUCGCAGAAAGGAGAAGAGAUCACUCGAACCGCUGAAAGGAGGAGAGAUCGCCGAGCCGCGAAAAGAAGGAGAGAUCGUUGAGCCGCUUCAUCCAAUCCAUCAACAGGUAGAAAAAAAAAAAAAGAAAGAAAGAAAGAAAGAAAGAAAAUAAAACAAUAAUAAAACACAAAAGAAAAUUCUCUUCUUCCCCCCUUCUUUUUUUUUCUUUUUUUGGUCCUGCUACCGUAGUCAUCCAUACCGUCUUGAUGACUUCGAUGGGAGAGUGGAGGGGAGCCAAUGGCUUCCCGUUUCUUCGGACCUCUCAAUACCCCAUUCGAAGUUGUUGAUGAUGGAAUGGGUGAUCUACAUUGCCGCGACCACCCCAACAUCGCCGGUUUGAUACUUUCGAAAGAAGAUGGGAGGGGAAUCAUUGAUUCCCCGUUUCUUCGGACCCUUCAAUAUUUCUUCGAAAAUGUCAAAUCAAAUCCGACAGCCGAACAGAUCCGUGCCACCGUCAUCAACUUCACCGACGACAUCUACAGCAUCGCCGGUUUGAUACUUUCGAAAGAAGAGGGGAGGGGAAUAUUUGAUUCCCCGUUUCUUCGGACCCUUCAACAUUUCUUCGAAAAUGUCAAAUCAAAUCCGACGGCCAAACAAAUCCGCACUACCGUCAUCAACUUCAUCGACAUCAUCUACAACACCGACGGUUUGAUACUUUCGAAAGAAGAGGGGAGGGGAAUCUUUGAUUCCCCGUUUCUUCGGACCCUUCAACAUUUCUUCGAAAAUGUCAAAUCAAAUCCGACGGCCAAACAAAUCCGCACUACCGUCAUCAACUUCAUCGACAUCAUCUACAACACCGACGGUUUGAUACUUUCGAAAGAAGAGGGGAGGGGAAUCUUUGAUUCCCCGUUUCUUCGGACCCUUCAACAUUUCUUCGAAAAUGUCAAAUCAAAUCCGACGGCCAAACAAAUCCGCACUACCGUCAUCAACUUCAUCGACAUCAUCUACAACACCGACGGUUUGAUACUUUCGAAAGAAGAGGGGAGGGGAAUCUUUGAUUCCCUGUUUCUUCGGACCCUUCAACAUUUCUUCGAAAAUGUCAAAUCAAAUCCGAUGGCCGAACAGAUCCACGCCACUGUCAUCAACUUCGUCGACGUCAUCUGCAGCCUCGCAAGAAGAGGGGAGGGGAAUCUUUGAUUCCCCGUUUCUUCGGACCCCAAAUCAAAAUUAAGACGGGGAUUUCUUCGAACCCCAAAUUGGAAUCAAAACGGGGAUUUCUUCGGACCCCAAAUCAGAACCAAACGGGGAUUUCUUCGGACCCCAAAUCAAAUUGGAAAAUCAAAUCUAAAUUGGAGAGUCAAACGGGGAUUUCUUCGGACCCCAAAUCAAAUCCAAAUUAGAGAAUCAAACGGGGAUUUCUUCGGACCCCAAAUCAAAUCCAAAUCAGAGAAUCAAACGGGGAUUUCUUCGGACCCCAAAUCAAAUCCAAUUGGAGAAUCAAACGGAGAUUUCUUCGGACCCCAAAUCAAAUUGAAAAAUCAAAUACAAAUUAAAAAAUCAAAACGAAAAUUUAUUCGGACCCCAAACCCAAAUUGAGAUAAAAAGGGGAUUUCUUCGGACCCCAAAUCAAACCAAAAUCAAAAAGGGAUUUCUUCGGAUCCGAAUCAAGUUGCAAAAGAGGACUACCUCGAACCCGAAAUAGAAUUAAAAAGAAAAUCAAGUUCACAUAGGAACCCAAACUCGAACCCAAAUAAAUCCAAACCCAAACCAAACCUAGUCCACAAAUAAACCCACAAAUAAACCCAAACUCGAACCCAAAUAAAUCCAAACCCAAACCAAACCUAGUCCACAAAUAAACCCACAAAUAAACCCAAACUUGAACCCAAAUAAACCCAAACCUAAAUCAAGUCAAGUUCAAACCCAAACAAAACCCAAAACCCAAAUAAAUCCAAACCUAAAUCAAGUCAAGUUCAAACCCAAACAAAACCCAAAACCCAAAUAAACCCAAACCUAAAUCAAGUCAAGUUCAAACCCAAACAAAACCCAAAAAUCCAAAUAAAUCCAAACCAAACCAAGUCCACAUACAAAGCCAAACGGCCCAAACCUAACCAAACCAAGUCCAAAUAAACAUCCAACCAAAACCAAAAUAAACCGAAACCAAACCAAGUCCACAUAAAUAACCCCAAACCCAUUCCAGAAUCAAAUCCAAAGCCAAACCAAACCUCAUGGACCAAAUCCCAUGAGCCAAAACCAAGUUUAUGAACCAAAUCCCAUGAACCAAAACCAAACUUCAUGGACCAAAUCCCAUGAGCCAAAACCAAGUUCAUGAACCAAGUCCCAUGAACCAAAACCAAACCUCAUGGACCAAAUCCCAUGAACCAAAACCAAACCUCAUGGGCCAAAUCCCAUGAACCAAAACCAAGUUCAUGGACCAAAUCCCAUGAACCAAAACCAAGUUCAUGGACCAAAUCCCAUGAACCAAAACCAAACCUCAUGGACCAAAUCCCAUGAACCAAAACCAAAUCUCAUGGACCAAAUCCCAUGAACCAAAACCAAACCUCAUGGACCAAAUCCUAUGAACCAAUAACCAAAUCUCAUAAACCAAUACCCAAAUCCCAUGAACCAAUACCCAGAUCUCAUACCCAUAUCUCAUGAACCAAUUAGACUAACACAUAGAGUUUAAUAUCGAUCGGGUCUUAACACAUAUACUUAGGGCCUAAUCAACCUCAAAUCCAACUGAAUCCUAAUACAUAUACUUAGGAUUCAAUAAACCGAGACGCGAUUCAACUCAUCCCAUCUAUAAAGGUCUCCUAAUCGAUGGUACUCCAAUCUACAGAGGAUAAUUAACAAUAGAUGCUUGCAUCUAUUGGAAGCCAUGGACCCGCAAAACCUGAUAUCCACAUACAUAUAAAUACUCAUCUGAAUCAUGAAUACUACCCCACGGCCCCGAAAAUUUCAUCGACCGUGCGAGGUGCGUCAUUCGUGGUGGCAGACAGGAGGUACAUGUUUAAUCUAAUCAAAAUGCUAAAUAACAAUGUUUAGUAGUUAGAGCCUAUUGUGCCUUAAAAAAAUUGAGACAACUAAAUGUUCCCAAACAUAAAAUAAAGAGUUAAUUUCAUAUAGGUCCCUGUAAAAAUAUCAAAAUUUCAUAUUGGUCCCUAUGAAAGUAUCAAAUAGCAGAUAAAUCCCUAUAAAACUUAAGUGCUCAGAUCUAUCCUUUCCAAGAUUCUCUGGUUUGCAAAUAUAUUCAUCUAAAAUUCUGAUUCGUUCAUAUAUAUUCCUACCGUUUAAUUCAUCGUUAAUUUUUUAAUAGUGGUUGCAAAAAAUAACUAUUUUGCUCUUACAAACUUAUUUCUACAAACAAAAAAAUAAAUUUUCUCUCUUUCCUCGCGUUCACCAUAGUACGCACGACAUAUCUCAUUUCUACAGUGACCGAAUGGCGGUCUUACCAUCGCCAUGAAUAAAGAAGAGAGGGUGAAAAAGAUGAAGGGAUUCACCAUAGGAAUACAAAUUAUAGCUACAAAGAGUUAAAAAAUUAUUUUACUCAACUAAAUAUGGCUAGCUUUUUAACUCAUAGUUAUGUAAAUUUUGAUAACAAAAGGAUAUAUUUGCAAACAAAAGAAUUUUUUGGAGAGAUAAAUCUGAUAACUUAAGUUUUGUAGUGAUAUAUUUAUUAUUUGAUAUCUUUGCAGGGAGCCAGAACCAUAUGCAAUUAUUCCUAAAAUAAAAUAAAACUCUCACACAACAACACAACCCUGUAGUUUUUCUUUUCUAAGUUGGCUUAGUAGAAGAAACAUAAUGGACACCUAGAUCUUAAUAACUAGGUUUCAUUUUCUCACUUCACAUCAACAAAUGAAGCCAUGCACAACUAGACCUUGAUAAUUAGGUUUCAUUUUCAAACUCGACAUCAACAAAUAGAGCCAUGCACUAUUUAGAACAAGAAAACAGGUAUUUGAUGUUAUUUGAAAAGCAUCAAUUUUGAAUUGGUCUAGAAUGCAAACACACCAUUUCUAACCUGCUGUUGAUGGCAGGUCCUUACAACAUAACAAACAAUAACCAGGCCAUAAUUAAGUGCGACAAACGAUACUGCAUAAUAGUAAAGCACAAAUGGGGAUAAACUACAGGGGUCGACUGACCUUUUUCCUCUUUUCAUCAGAAGGUGCGAGGUCGAUCUAGACGAUCAAUUUAAUGCAACCACUUCAUCAUAUAGAAUCACAGUAAUUGAAGAUUUGAAAUUGCAGCUCGACGAUGAGUUGCAGAAGCAAAUGCAUGCAGUUCAGAGCAUUGGUUCUGUUGAUAGCAAAUUGAUGCCUGAAUGCUUUUCAGAUGGCUUCAAAGAUAAUGUAAGUUAUUAGGUUUCCUACACAAGUUCCAUUAAGCAACUUAACUAAAUUUCAAUAUACUACAUGUCAAAGUUCUAAAAAGCGGAAAGUUAUCUAAGAACUUUCUGCACCUAAGAACUGAACCAUCUUUGUAAAAUUUACUUCUGACUCAACUAUACACUGAAUCAGCCUCACAGGCAAGCAGUCCAUAACUCCGCCAGGUGAAAGUUUAAAUUGUCAAGCAAUCCUACAUAAACAAAAAAACAAAAGAGCACUUCAUCCUCACCAGUUUCAGGUAACCAAUUGACAAAUUGAACUACCGCUUUCGGAUCAUUUUGCCUUUUCCAUAAGCAUCUCAUGCAUCAUAAGCCUCUAUGUGAUAAUCCCACAACAUGACAAUAUUCUAUUGCAGCUCCAAAAGUUAUAACACAUCAACCUCCAAAUAAGACUAGGAGUAGAAUUUAUUGUUUUUUUUUUUUUGAGAGAGAAAGGUAGUAUGUUAUCUGCUUCGUUUAUUUUCUAAAAAAAUAAAUUUAGCCGGAAAUGUGAAUCAACUAGAAUUUGAACUUGGGACCUCGGGUACAAACCACCAAGCCCUUUGCCACUUGCACUAAGAACAGUCGGUGAAUGGAAUUUAUUGUUGAAGUCCAUAAUAGAAGUGGCAACUACAUACAUUCUAUUGCAAGCAAACAGCAAGAUGUCAACGAGAAAUUACUUGAUAGAGACCAGAAAAAGCGCUUCUCUUCAUAGAAUGCCAACCUCAACAUUUUGUGUUAAAAUUGAAGUGUUCUCUAAGAAAUUAGCUUGCAUGUGGUGCUAUUAGAUAGGGUUACACUUUUUAACAAGAAAUGCCAUUAGAAAAUUUACGAAAAAUGAAGAUUUUGAUGUUGUUAGAACCUCAAUUCAAAAGAAAAACUAGAGGUGAGUGUUUAUACCACACCACGCAGCAAAUGGUAUUUAACACAUGACUCUCCAUGAAUUACCAAUUUCAUUUUUGAAGAAGCACCAGCAUUGUCCGAUAAACAAGGCAGGUGACCCAAAUUUACAUUGAAAUUGAACUUGAAAGAGAAUAUGUAUUAGAUCCUGACACCAAACUGACAAGUUAAAGCAAAUAAUCAUAUACGAACGAUUUACUACUUACAUUACCAAGAGAAAUGGUAUCUUUAAUCUAUUGCAUGAUAAUAAUGUACAUAGAGCUUAUUCAAGUAAUAUUUACAGCGUACAACGAUCGCAGAAUUUAUCUACAGUAUCAAGAAUGCGCCCAUCCAUAGCAAUAGGCUUCAAGUAUCUAUUGCAUGAUAAUAAUGUACAUAGAGCUUAUUCAAGUAAUAUUUACAGCGUACAACGAUCGCAGAAUUUAUCUACAGUAUCAAGAAUGCGCCCAUCCAUAGCAAUAGGCUUCAAGUCAAUAAUAAAGUUGUUCCGAAGGAAACCAAACCCAAAGGUCUUAUCCUCAUACUCCCAAAUCCUACCCUCAACAUUUCUAAAAUUGCCAGAGUCUCCUGAAAGAUCCGGAAUCACCAGAUCAUAACUA
rnacentral:lncRNA from 1 species